GACGGAGGAUGCAAGCGUUAUCCGGAAUGAUUGGGCGUAAAGCGUCCGCAGGUGGCAGUUCAAGUCUGCUGUCAAAGACCGGGGCUUAACUUCGGAAAGGCAGUGGAAACUGAACAGCUAGAGUAUGGUAGGGGCAGAGGGAAUUCCUGGUGUAGCGGUGAAAUGCGUAGAGAUCAGGAAGAACACCGGUGGCGAAGGCGCUCUGCUAGGCCGCAACUGACACUGAGGGACGAAAGCUAGGGGAGCGAAAGGG
rnacentral:rRNA from 1 species